UACGUAGGGGGCUAGCGUUGUCCGGAAUCAUUGGGCGUAAAGCGCGCGUAGGCGGCCCGGUAAGUCCGCUGUAAAAGUCAGAGGCUCAACCUUUGAAUGUCAGUGGAUACUGCCGGGCUAGAGUACAGAAGGGGCAACUGGAAUUCUCGGUGUAGCGGUGAAAUGCGUAGAUAUCGAGAGGAACACCUGCGGCGAAGGCGGGUUGCUGGGCUGAUACUGACGCUGAGGCGCGAAAGCCAGGGGAGCGAACGGG
rnacentral:rRNA from 1 species